rnacentral:rRNA from 2 species
GGGUUGUGAGGUUAAGCGACUAAGCGUACACGGUGGAUGCCCUGGCAGUCAGAGGCGAUGAAGGGCGUGCUAAUCUGCGAUAAGCGCCGGUAAGGUGAUAUGAACCGUUAUAACCGGCGAUACCCGAAUGGGGAAACCCAGUGUGAUUCGUCACACUAUCAUUAACUGAAUCCAUAGGUUAAUGAGGCGAACCGGGGGAACUGAAACAUCUAAGUACCCCGAGGAAAAGAAAUCAACCGAGAUUCCCCCAGUAGCGGCGAGCGAACGGGGAGGAGCCCAGAGCCUGAAUCAGCAUGUGUGUUAGUGGAAGCGUCUGGAAAGGCGCGCGAUACAGGGUGACAGCCCCGUACACAAAAGCGUAUGUGCUGUGAGCUCGAUGAGUAGGGCGGGACACGUGGUAUCCUGUCUGAAUAUGGGGGGACCAUCCUCCAAGGCUAAAUACUCCUGACUGACCGAUAGUGAACCAGUACCGUGAGGGAAAGGCGAAAAGAACCCCGGCGAGGGGAGUGAAAAAGAACCUGAAACCGUGUACGUACAAGCAGUGGGAGCACCCUUUGGGGUGUGACUGCGUACCUUUUGUAUAAUGGGUCAGCGACUUAUAUUCUGUAGCAAGGUUAACCGAAUAGGGGAGCCGGAGGGAAACCGAGUCUUAAUUGGGCGUUAAGUUGCAGGGUAUAGACCCGAAACCCGGUGAUCUAGCCAUGGGCAGGUUGAAGGUUGGGUAACACUAACUGGAGGACCGAACCGACUAAUGUUGAAAAAUUAGCGGAUGACCUGUGGCUGGGGGUGAAAGGCCAAUCAAACCGGGAGAUAGCUGGUUCUCCCCGAAAGCUAUUUAGGUAGCGCCUCGUGAAUUCAUCUCCGGGGGUAGAGCACUGUUUCGGCUAGGGGGUCAUCCCGACUUACCAACCCGAUGCAAACUGCGAAUACCGGAGAAUGUUAUCACGGGAGACACACGGCGGGUGCUAACGUCCGUCGUGAAGAGGGAAACAACCCAGACCGCCAGCUAAGGUCCCAAAGUCAUGGUUAAGUGGGAAACGAUGUGGGAAGGCCCAGACAGCCAGGAUGUUGGCUUAGAAGCAGCCAUCAUUUAAAGAAAGCGUAAUAGCUCACUGGUCGAGUCGGCCUGCGCGGAAGAUGUAACGGGGCUAAACCAUGCACCGAAGCUGCGGCAGCGACACUCAGGUGU